rnacentral:rRNA from 1 species
AUCCAUGUCUUGUAAUCGGAAUGAGUAGAAUUUAAACCCCUUUUCGAGUAUCAAUUGGAGGGCAAGUCUGGUGCCAGCAGCCGCGGUAAUUCCAGCUCCAAUAGCGUAUAUUAAAGUUGUUGCAGUUAAAAAGCUCGUAGUUGGAUUUGUGGUGUGUCUAGUCGGCCUUUGCUCUUUGAGUGAUUGUGCUGUACUGGUCUGCCAUGUUUGGGUGGAAUCUGUGUGGCAUUAGGUUGUCGUGCAGGGGAUGCCCAUCGUUUACUGUGAAAAAAUUAGAGUGUUCAAAGCAGGCUUAUGCCGUUGAAUAUAUUAGCAUGGAAUAAUGAUAUAGGACCUUGGUACUAUUUUGUUGGUUUGCGCACUAAGGUAAUGAUUAAGAGGGACAGUUGGGGGUAUUUGUAUUCCAUUGUCAGAGGUGAAAUUCUUGGAUUUAUGGAAGACGAACUGCUGCGAAAGCGUCGAACAAGGACGUUCUCAUUAAUCAAGAACGAAAGUUAGGGGAUCGAAGAUGAUUAGAUACCAUCGUAGUCUUAACCAUAAACUAUGCCGACUCAGGAUGGGCAAGCGUUUACAUGACCUUGUCUGCACUGUAUGAGAAAU